rnacentral:lncRNA from 1 species
AAAUUAAAAUAAAACUAUCCAUCACAUUGCUAAAAUUUUAGAUAGAAAUACACAAAUUACAAUUUCAGAAGCAAACAACAUGAUACACUAUGACAAACUCAAAUAUUGCUGAAAGUUUACAUAGAAAUACACAAAUUUAAACUUGAGAGCAACAACAACAUGAUACACUAUGACAAACCAUCCACUAAGUAAUAUCUAGAAGGACUUCAAGCAUCCUUGGGAAGCGAAGACGAAGGUUUCGCUGACGCAACCUCAUCAUGUGGUUUAUUUGUACCUCUUGCAAUGGUAGUACUUAUAAGUGGACCUAAAACAC